UUCUAAAUACCUAUAUGAUGGAGCAAGUAAAGUGAAACAAUUUGCUGUAAGCUCUAUUUUGGACAAUGGAGAGAAACAGAAGAAACACUAUUUUUAAGGUACUUAUUUUAGUUCCUUUUUUUUGCCCCCUCCUUUUAAAGUGUUUGCUUGUGACGCACUGUUGUUUUUCUGGGAAUAAAAAUGGUUGCGUGUGAAUUCUUCGGUCCAAUUCCGCGCAAGCUAUAUCUCUAGCAGCUAGCAUGGCAUUUUACUUGUACCUGAUGGUUUCUCUUCUGCUGGGUAUGAAAUUUUUACUGGGUAAAUUGUCUUCAGAUCAACGUUUUAGCUGGUUUUUGCUAGCAAUCGUUCUUACUUGUUAAUUACUGUUUAAUCUGUCUUUCAACUAAAUUUCCUGUACUCAACUGGUGAAUUUGAUUAUAUUUGGGAGACUUCUCAAGACUCAAGCAUUGUACUUCUAAUUGUCGUAAAGCAUAGUGGGGAUCAACCAUGUAUAAUCAUUAAGUGCUGAUGGGAUAUCCACAGAAGGGGUUUUCAGAUUUUCAAGCAACGUCAUUCUUUCUUUCCAUAAAUGUGCAACGUUCUUCGGUCCAUUGUUCUUUUUUUUUUUGCUAAUUGUGCUGUGUCUUUGUUUGCGAAUGUGACUAACAGAAACUACAAGUGGAACUUAGGGAUGUUCCCUUGAAAAAUCACAGGUAUCCAUCUCAUCUUUGAAGUAGGUAGUCUUGCCAGGAACAAUUCUGGAAGCAAAAUCUACUUUUGUGAACCUUAUUGGGAUAAAUGACAGAAUAUAAUCCAGUGAUUACAUUUUAAUGCUGUAUGUGAUGCAUGAGAACAGGUUUGUUUAUCUGGAAACUUUUCAGCUCCACAUCCAAAACAAACUACUAUAUGGAUAUGGCAAUAUGCACAGAAAAACAUGCUGGUUUUUCCUUUUUUUUUUUCCCACUUGGAUAGCAGAGUUCAGGGUUUUGUUUUUCCUAUUUCCUUUGACUAGCAUGGAGAUAUCUUGAGAGCCAUUUCAUGCAAAUGGAUCCAAUCUGGCCUUUGUUGCUGAGAGAUUUCACAUUUGAAGUUUGUAGUGCUUUGGCCAAUCACCUGUGCCUGUUAAAUUGUCCUUCAACUUCUAGGUUUGCAUUAUUCAAUUAAAGGAGAUCAUCCUCGAGAGUCUUUGCACUUCGAGUUGCCAAAAAGGCAGAGUGGGGAAUAUAAGAUUGCUCUUUUAUUUGCUAUGAGAUAUCCUGGGUAAAGGUUUUUCAAAUUCUGAAACAAGAUAAUUGCAUUAUGAAUGGGCAAGUCCAUAGUUUUCAAUGUUUCUCAGUCUCCAGUGAGUUGCACCAUGGUUCAUGAAAAAAAAGGAUGACAAUGGGAGUGGGAAUCCUCCAUUUGUUCAAAUUCAAAGGUCAUACAACAUCUUUUCUCUGUUUAAGUUGUAUGCAGCCUUUCCCUGGGAUCAAAUGAUAUUUCUUUUUUUAUGUUCUUCACGUUGUUUUUGAUUCACUGGAAGGCAGAUUUUAAGCAUUGACAGUUUUUUAAACUAUUUACACUGGAGCGUAGGACCCAAGAAGUGAAAAUUUAGAUUAAUUCUUUAAAUGAACCCCUAGAACUUUGAAAAUUGAAUUAUUCUCAUUUGAAAACUUAUUUUUCAUGUGAUCAUCAGAAGGCUAGUUUUGCUUUUGGAGCGAUUGUUUUGCAUAGUAAAACACUCAAAACUUCUUUCUAGGGAAUAUAUUCAACUCAAAGUAGACUCAAACAAGCCUUUUAUGUGUUCUUCUAUUGCAGUAUAUUGAUCAUUACUUCUAGCACAAGGAUAGAGUUGUAAUCUUACCAUAUUAGUUAAAAUCGUAUUGUCUUUGCCUAUUGUAUUUUACUCCUUGUGAAUAUAGACAUGAUGACUCUAGUAAUUGUAAAUUAUGUAAAGUCAUUCUUUUUUGUCAAGAUUAUGUUUGUUCCCGUGUUAUUAGAAAUGCUUUGUGCUUCAUUUCAUCAGAAGGCACUUAAAAAUAAUUACAUCAAAUGUUCUUCAUCUUUUUCAUUCUUUCUACAAUUUUUUCUUCAAUUUAACACUUGACCAGGAUAAUUCUGCUCAAAUGGAGAAGUAAGUUCAAGUAGUGGGAUAGAAGGAAAGGAGGUAUACAAACAGUGAUUUGGAUUAAAGUGGCAGAAGUAUUUUCUGUAGCAACAAUUAAUAAAAGAUUUUGCCACUACAGAACUUAGUAGGAAUGCAGUUUCUAGCCUCAACUAAUUCGGGAUUGAGGUUAAGUUUUGUAGAGUUAUGUCAUGAAUGUGAUGAUGUCAUGAUUCAACUUGAUUACAUCUUUAGCCAAAUUUGCAUUAUUAGAUGUACUUCUUCAUUACCACUCCAUUGGUAUUAAAAAGUAUAAAUGGAAGAUAAUUUUAUCCUACCAGAUCCAUAUCUUUCUGCAUGUUUUAAACUAUCUCUAUAUAUUGUCUAUUGAGGCGGCAAUUUGCUACGAUGUGGAUUUGCCAACCUAAAGCUGUGACCUGGUCACAACAAGAGUGUUUGGGUUGUGAGAAACAGAGGGAAAGUAAGGCUAAAAGGGUAUGAAAAAGAGAAAGAGAUGAGAAGAGAAGAGAGGGAAGAGAGAACAGAGAGAUAGAGAGAGAUAAUGACUCAGAUGAUUAAGUUUAAGCCCAUGUUCUUUUUGCCUUGUUCCUUGUGAUAUGGAUUUCACAUUGUACUAACUUUUAACUUAGUUCUGCCUGCUUAAUGUGAUGUAUUUAUAACUAGUUAACUGUUGAUAUUGUCUUAUGCGUGACCUGACGUGGUGUAAGCUAUGCUAUGUGUCACGGUUUCAGAUUUCAGCAAUCGCCUGGAACCGUGCGGCACUUGAUUCGAAUACCUUCAAGCCAAGUCAGCCUUAAGAAUCACCCGAUACCCUGUGAACAUGAGUACCCUGAUUAGUCAAGGUUAUAUAAGCGAAUAGCGAAGCCAACAGGCAGCAUUCCAUUAGAAGCCUCACAGUAGGCACAAAAGAUAAGAACAGAACAUGGGAAUUCAUGAACAGGCUACUUAUUUUAUUACAGGGGCAAAAUAGUAAUUAUACAUUAUCAUCGAUGCAAUCGUUACAAUAAUUCUCACCUCCCUUGUAGACAGGGGGACGGUCUACAAGGAGUGAAGGCACAACUUGGAUCUCCGUAGGCCUAUGGUAGCCAACUGGGCCCAGCCCCAGCUGGUGGCCAACUAGUUACUCCCCCCUAAAGAGCCUUAGGAACAACUUGGCUUGUGACAGGAGGAGACAUCAACAUAUCUCAUAUGACACCCCCCUAAAAUAAAUACAUGAAAAGGAAUUACAACAAAUUGUCUCGGCCAUUAUCUUCCUACUAAUUUCUACUAUUUUAUCCCAAUAUUGCUUUCUAGGAAUUUCAAUGUUGGAAAAUUACAGUUUUGGUCCCUGAAAACUCUAUGACCCUGACACUCCCCCACUUAAACAGUCGACGUCGUCGUUGACUGAGUUUGUUGGGGUUCUUCAAUCUUUGAGUCCGACAUUCUUAGGCUUGCAGUGUGAUUUGAUCCCAGUCCUGCUCAAUUAAAUUGUUGGACAGCCUUAAUCCUUAGUAUCUCCUCCCAAUUGAUCUCUGUGGACUGCUAAUUCUUAAUGAUGAUGAGACUACAAAAGCUCUAUCUUCUGGUGGUAAAUGUUCUGCCCUUGAUUCCUUAGACUACUGCAAAUGGUGCUAGAAAUUAUUGCUUUCCUCCUCUGCACGAACUUAUUGCCUGAAGUCAUUGAUCACUGGUACUUUUCUCCUUAACUUGUCUCGCCAUUACUUGUCUUUAAUUGUCGACCUUACUCUUUGCCUCAAAGCACGACCCCAUGGUGCAACAAAUCUAUCAACCUGCAUACACUCAUGCCAUAUGACAUCAUGAUUAACCUGUAAUAAUCUCAUAAGAAAGGAUAGUACUAACCACGUUAGAAUCAAAUACAAACUAAUAUAGCAAGUCAUCUAGAACACAAUCCAUUAUAAAUUAAUAGGUGUGACCACAGCACUUGUCCACUAAAAUUGGAACUGUCUUUACCCAUCCGCUUGACAUAACACAACGUUAUUCCACCUGUAGCGAAGCUCGGCGAAUCCUCCUAAGGAACUGGUGUCCCUAUUGUCAAAAGAGUUCGCUCAACACUCUCUUUCUCCUUUUGUACGCCUUAUGUUCCUCCCUUCAUAAGCUCUGGUAUUAUGUACACUUUAUCUCUUUUUCCUCUCCCUAAGAAUGUAGUCUACGCAAAUGCCUACAAAACGUCUCCCAUUACACACACAAAAUAUCCACGACCACUGAAAAGGGGCAUUUUCUUGUUGAACCCUAUGAGCCACAGAAAUCUACUCAAAACAACUAUUAAGAUUGACUAUACAUGAACCAAUUAAUACCAUCAUCAUGACUUGACACCAAGAAAUUACUAGAAGAUACUCCCUUUCUUAUACUGCUUUCAUCAUAGCUCACAACAUCGAUUCGCCUCACCAACUUGCCUCAAGCAACCUGCGCUUCUCGACCCAUCUCGGUCCUUCCCCACGUUGAUGCACUUAUGAGAACUUUUAUUUGGCCAUGAGGUCUCUUUCCUGCCCGACAACAAAGGUAGGACUACAUUUGUCCUUUUUAAUUACACAUUAUUAUCCAAUCCCUUUUAAGGCAGCUACAUCCUAUAUGUUCACAAUAUUUGUUAGCACAAACUUGUCAAGUUCCACAUCGAGGAACCUGACUCAAUAAUCCACAAAAUAUUUCAGAAUAAAUGAAUAACUAUAUAAAGUAAGGUAAGGAAUGAUAUCAGGAAACACAAAAACAUUAUACUCAUCUGAUAUGAGAGGGUUCCCUCUCGUUAAAUUCCUUUCUCUCGUACUGAAUGAUCAUUAAGGAUCUCCAUCUCUCAUCAUUACCUUGAGCACCACACUCCUUUGACCAGUUCAAUAGUCCUCACUUCUGUCAGUUUUCGCUUAUCCUCCUUCCUUUUGUCGUAGGAUGAGUGAAUUAUUUGCUUCCACAACGUUGUUGCUCCCAACGGUAUUUGAUGCCACUCUUGCCCAAUGUUACCAUACAUUCCUAUGGGUUGUCCUAUCAAAAUGUUUACUUACCUCUAAGAGAAUGAAUAUGUGCUCAACAAUCAUAGUUGGUUGGCACUUCUCAGACAUUAUCCCAUACUCUGGUACUUGUUGUUUUCAUUUCAUCCCCUCUGGACUCCCAUCUAUUCCUCUUUUCCGACUCAUUUUCAUCCUCGCAAAACUUAGUCUUGGUUUCUUUUUUCUUUUAUUUUUUUUUUACUUACGCACGGCUAGACAAUACUUCAUCGAAUGCUACUUUUCGUUGAGUUUACCCUUGCACCACUUCAUGCUUGGAUAGCCACUAGUUUCCUCUUCACUACUCUCGAUUACCUCUCCUUUAUCAAGGAAUAAUUGUUGGUAAAAAAUAGAGAUAAUUUGUGUCAUUCUGGGAGACGCCACAUCAAUUAACGUCCCAGGUUCACUAAAAAGAAAUUGUGAAGUCCAUCUUGCUUUUUGAUGUCCUCAAUUAAGCGAGUUUAUCAAAGGACAUGCUCAACUUAAUCCCCGCACUCAAGUUGUCUGCUUAGUCUUUAUUUCCUCAUAUCAUCCACUUCAGUUUUAUUUGUGAUUCUCACAAUUGUGUAAACAGUGUACAAAUCUUGUAUUUGUGCCCGCUUUGUAGCAUCAACUCCGCUAUACUUGACACUGGGCAACAAUAUGUUGUUUUAUACUAGCUUCGAUUCUCAUUUCUUCUCUUAGAGUCCUCAAGAAGACUUUGAAGAUCUUCUCCUCCAUCCCAUGUCCCUUAUUUAACUCAACACUCACAGAAUAUUUCCAUCAUGCUUGAUCCCUUCACGCGAACAAUACUACCUUAGGCGGGGAGGAACAAGAAAGUACAAACAACCUAGAGUUGACAACUCUAUGAUUUAUACCUAAUGUUUCCUCCCCCUUUACUCACCAUGUCCCUCAAGACCUUCGACACAUUUCCACACCAGCAACUUGUAAAAUCAUAUGGCUUUCUUCAUAGAGAACACUUCAUACUGCUUAGUUAUGCCACUUCCAUGUGCUCUUGUUUACCACCUUUCAGACCGCUCCCCCACUUAUUGCUUUGGCCCAUCUUCUUAGGCGGCUAUCAAUCAGAUAUCAGAGUUGAAUAUUCCUUCAAUUCCUUGGUAAUAGAACCAACUCAAUAUUGGUUGCCCUUUACUCUACACCAUAAUCCUCCAGGUUCUGACCUUCUUCAGGAAGGUUUCAAGCUCAGUCAUAUCUCUUGAAUUGUUGUCACAAUCCGCUUACUCUAUUAAAAAUCAAGUGCCACGUCCUCUUGUGUCAUCCAUAGAUGCUGAAAAGUUCCUUUAUGUACUUUCCUUAUGAACACCUUGUUGGAGUUUACCAACUCUCUUGAAUAACAAAUGUUACAUUCUUAUAGUAAAACUGGAGCUUAUCAUUUCAUAUCCCCCUUUUCUCAUGUAUAGAGUGAACACUCUCUAUUCAUGGGACUUUACCCUUUCAUUUUUAGAAUAGAUUUAGCUUUAUAGCUUGAUCCCAUAAACGUUGUUCUUUAUAUGUCUGCACAGUCACCAAUCCCAAUAAUAUUAAUGCAUAAGUUCAUAUUGAAGAGAAAAUUAUUUACCUCCAUUCCACAACAAGGAUUGAAGUUUUGGGAUUCCACCCGUGCCUACUUCAUAGGCAUUAGCUCGUGAUUCACGCCAUUGAUAAUUGUUCCUCUGGUUCACUUCUGAAGUAUUGCUCAUAGUCUUUCCUAUGUCAUAUUUAAUAUUAUUGCACCAUUCCUGCAAGUAAAACAAAAUACAUGAGAGGCUUUUGCCUCAAUUCUGUCUCGGGAGGCCUCUUGCCUCAAUUCUAUCUCCGGAGUCCUCUUGCCUCAAUUAUGUCUCAGGAGGCCUCUUGCCUCAAUUCUGUCUCAUGAGGCCUCUUGCCUCAAUUUUGAGUGGAAUGGUCUCGGGAUUCUCGGAUGGCCUCAAGCUCUAUUGGCUCAUCCUCCCCCUUAUCACUAUACCCUGAGGUCAUUACUCUCUCUCCAAGGGCCACUAAAAGGAAGUAUGUAGCACCUAGUCAUUACCCUCUCUCCAGAAGACAUUUCCAAUGGAGUGUGCAGUACUAGGUCAUUACCUCUCUCCCGAUGGUGUCCCUAGUGGAGCGUGCAACACCUCUAAUUAAUAUGGCCAGUCUAGCCCGAAAGCUCAUGCUUUUGUCUUCUUCACCUCAUAAUGUGCUACUACUCCUCGUAGCUUCAUAAUUGGAGGUCACUGCCUCCCCCUUUCACCACUUUAGGCUCAAGAUCACCCCACCGGGUGUCAUUCGCAUGAAGGAGAUUUUGGAAGGCCUCAAUCUCCCGCCAAUUUGGCUAUCAUAGCCAACAACCUUCAUUUUUAUUAUAUAUAUAUAUAUUUUUUUUUUCACUCUAGUGCCUCAAGGCACUUCUAACCAGAAUCAUCUCCAAUGCGUUUCCCUCUUAGGUGGCAUAGACAACCAACCAGGCAGCGCGAUUCUCACCCUUCUCUCAAGGGCCUUUGUGCAGGUGCUAAACUUCGUCAUUCUUGCUCGCAGAUCUUUCUUGCUCUGAUACCAAUUGUCACGGUUUCAGAUUUCAGCAAUCGCCUGGAACCGUGCGGCACUUGACUCGAACACCUUCAAGCCAAGUCAGCCUUAAGAAUCACCCGAUACCCUGUGAACAUGAGUACCCUGAUUAGUCAAGGUUAUAUAAGCGAAUAGCGAAGCCAACAGGCAGCAUUCCAUUAGAAGCCUCACAGUAGGCACAAAAGAUAAGAACUGAACAUGGGAAUUCAUGAACAGGCCACUUAUUUUAUUACAGGGGCAAAAUAGUAAUUAUACAUUAUCAUCGAUGCAAUCGUUACAAUAAUUCUCACCUCCCUUGUAGACAGGGAGACGGUCUACAAGGAGUGAAGGCACAACUUGGAUCUCCGUAGGCCUACGGUAGCCAACUGGGCCCAGCCCCAGCUGGUGGCCAACUAGUCACUCUUCCCUAAAGAGCCUUAGGAACAACUUGGCUUGUGACAGGAGGAGACAUCAACAUGUCUCAUAUGACACCCCCCUAAAAAAAAUACAUGAAAAGGAAUUACAACAAAUUGUCUCGGCCAUUAUCUGCCUACUAACUUCUACUAUUUUAUCCCAAUAUUGCUUUUUAGGAAUUUCAAUGUUGGAAAAUUACAGUUUUGGUCCUUGAAAACUCUAUGACCCUGACACUAUGGAUGAUUUUGCUCCAUGUAUAUUUGUUUUUUGAGAUGCAUUAAGUCUAUAUCAUUUUAAAUGGCUAACAAUUUAAGAGCAAUAGCAAAGGGCUAUAUUAAGUUUUUCCCUCUCAUUCUCUUAACGACUUCAACCUGAAAGCAUAAGAAGCUGUUAAUGUUCUUGUUGACUUAUUUGCUGAUCCUAACUGAUUCUAGGGAUAUGAUUUGAUUUGAUUUGAUUAGGAUUCUUAAUUAUCUCUGUAAUUAUUAUUUGAUUAUUUAUUUCCUGUUUAGAUAUAAUUCUUUGUGUAUAAAUAGUCAUAUAAACCAAUUGUAAAGAUUAAGAGUGAAGUACAAGAAUUCUCUAAAUUUUUCUAAAAUUCUUCAUGGUAUCAGAGCCUUUUCCUGAUUUUAGGGUUCAAAUUUAAUUUUUUCCUCUUUGAAACCCUAGAUUUACCUUUUUUUGUACUAACCCAUCUAGGAGCCUUUCCUCCUCUCACCGCCGGCUCCAGAACUGUCGCAGGCCGAUCGCCCAGCUCCGACGUCGAAAAAGCCUGCACGUGAGGCUCACGCGGCUCCCUUUCCCGGCGCGUGACCAAUCGCCUAACGCUGCUUCGCGGCUCCGAUCACUUCGGCGACGAUUCCGACCAUCUUUCCAGCCUUCCCGUGCCGCUACCUGGUCUUUUGGUGAAUCGGUUGGGCUCUCUUGUGUGUACAACCUUGGGUACCUCCUAUUCUUUCACGGUUCACAAAUCUUUACCAUGGCAGAAGGUAAAAGAGUCUCGAUUCCUAACUCUGAUUUCUCGUCCUCCGGUGCCACAUCUAACUUUGUAAAGUCAGGUAAUGCUUCCUCUCUUAAUAAUGUUCCAUGGAUUAUCGAUUCUGGUGCAAAUAGACACCUGACAGGCUCUUCUAAAGGCUUUCUCAAUUAUUUUCCUUCUCUAACCAAAGAUAGUGUCAGAAUUGCUGAUGGCUCUUUUACUCCCAUAUCUGGAACAUGUUCUGUUAUUUACACAUCCAACAUUAAAUUAUCAUCUGUCCUUCAUAUUCUCCACUUUCCUGUCAACCUUUUAUCUGUCAGUGCUAUUACCAAUGCCCUUAAUUGUAAAAUUGAAUUCUUUCCUGAUCAUUGUGUUAUUCAGGAUCUUCGCACAGGAAAGAGGAUUGGCAAUGGUAGGCUGCAUGAUAGCUUAUAUAUGUUGGAGGGUGAUCCAGGUUUUUCGAUAUCUCAAGCCUAUUUUGGAGAAAAUAAGGAUGUCAAUCAGGAAAUAAUACAGUGGCACAAACGGUUAGGGCAUCAAUCAUUUUUUGCCUUAGAAAAACUUUAUCCUAAUUUGUUUGCUAGAACUCGAUUUGAUUCUCUAUUUUGUGAUACUUGUGAGUAUGCUAAACACACUAGAACAUCCUAUCCUUUGAGUCAUAAUAAAAGUCAAAUUCCUUUUGGGACUAUUCAUUCUGACGUUUGGGGGCCUACUCAAACUGUCUCCUUGUCUGGUAAUCGAUGGUUUGUCACCUUUAUUGAUUGUUGCACUCGAAUGACUUGGGUCUAUUUGUUUAAAGCUAAAAGUGAUGUCUUUUCUUGUUUUCAAUCCUUUCAUAAGAUGGUUUGUACUCAAUUUGAUACUAAGGUGAAAAUUUUGAGAACUGACAAUGGAAGAGAAUAUAUGGAUAGUAGCUUUUCUACUUAUUUGGAGAGUAAUGGGAUAGUACACCAGACUAGUUGUCCUUAUACUAGUGCUGAAAAUGGUGUUGCUGAGAGGAAAAAUAGGCAUCUAUUGGAGGUAGCUCGAUCUCUUAUGUUCACCAUGAAUCUACCCAAAGCAUAUUGGGGAGAUGCAAUUCUUGCAUCUGCUUAUCUUAUCAAUAGAAUGCCUCUCAAGACCCUUAACUUUAUGAGUCCUUUGGCGGUUCUACAAGGGAAGAAUUCAUACAUUGUUCCACUAAAAGUAUUUGGGUGUGUUUGCUUUGCCCAUACUAGGACGGCAGGAAAAUUGGAUCCCAAUGCCCUUAAAUGUGUGUGUUUGUUGGGUAUUCUCCAACACAGAAGGGAUACAAGUGUUAUCAUUCUCCCUCUAGGAAAUACUUAGUUAGUAUGGAUGUUACUUUCCGAGAAACUGAACCCUACUUUAGUACCACCCACUCACCUCUUCAGGGGGAGAAUAAUGAGCAAGAAGAGGUGAUCCCAAAUUCUAUGAUUCUAAAUGAUAUGACUCAACUAGAAAGUUUGAAUUCUAGUAGACAGGGGGAGAUGUCCAAUCAGGGAGAGAGAACUGGUCGUUUGGACAAGCCAUAUUUGAGAAGGUAUUCGAGGAGAGACAAGGCAGAAGAAGUCAUUAUGCAGUCUACUCAGAGUCAAGAAUCUUCUCUUGGUGAGUUACCCAGUCAUGAAUCUUCUUCUGGUGAGUUACCCACAACUCUUUCUUCUGGUGAGUUACCCACAACUCUUGAAUGUUUCAAUGACUUAGAUAAACCUAUUGCACAAAGAAAAGGGGUCAGAUCUUGUACUAAAUACCCUAUUUCUAACUUUGUUUCUUAUGAAUCCUUAUCUCGUUCCUAUAGAGCCUUUGCCUUGUUUAUUUCUUCUGUGUCUAUUCCACAGGAUUAGAAGAAAGCUCUUGCAGAUCCUAAAUGGAAGAAAGCAAUGAUUGAAGAGAUGAAAGCAUUGGCUAAAAAUGAGACUUGGGAGCUUGUCACUCUCCCACCUGGGAAGAAACUCGUUGGCUGUAAAUGGGUGUUCACAGUGAAACACAAAGCUGAUGGCACAAUUGAAUGGUUUAAGGUCAGAUUGGUUGCUAAAGGAUUCACCCAAAUCUAUGGAGUGGAUUACCAAGGGACAUUUGCCCCAGUUGCAAAAAUGAACUCAAUCAGAGUUUUGUUAUCCUGUGCAGCCAACUUGGACUGGGACUUGCAACAGUUUGAUGUGAAGAAUGCUUUCCUCCAUGGAGAUUUAGAGGAAGAAGUGUUCAUUGAAAUUCCUCCUGGGUUCGCUGAUGAGAAGACACAAGGAAAGGUGUGCAGGUUAAAAAAGGUUUUGUAUGGACUAAAACAAUCUCCUAGAGCUUGGUUUGACAGGUUUAGCAGAGCUAUGAUGUUCUUUGGUUACCAACAAAGCAAUGCUGAUCACACUCUGUUUAUCAAACAUCACAAGGGUAAGAUCACCCUUCUUAUUGUUUAUGUUGAUGAUAUAGUGGUGACAGGCAAUGACAAAGAGAAAAUGACUUAACUAAAGAGGUUGUUAGCUCAGGAAUUUGAAAUCAAAGAUCUAGGAAAACUGCAAUAUUUCCUAGGUAUUGAGGUGGUUAGAUCAGAAAAAGGAAUUUUCAUCUCCCAAAGAAAGUACAUUAUGGAUCUGUUGGAAGAAACUGGUAUGAUGGGGUGUAAAUGUAAUACCCGGCUAGACUCCGGUGUCGGAAUUCCAACCUUCCGACGGAAUCUCCGUUGAAAUCCGGAAUCUCGGAUACCGGAACCUCUUAGAAGGGCAAAAUAUGUUUUUACAAAAUGUUUUCAUGAUUUUAUUGAUUGGUUUUUAGUUAAGUUUUAAAAUGAAAGAAAAAAUAUUUUUGAGGGACAAGUCCAGGUUCGGCCGCCGAACAUGGUGCUGCCGCGGGAGCUCUCCUUUCGGCCCCCGAAGGUGGUCUAGCCAGCCACCUAUAAGAGGCCUCCAGUCCAAAAAUGGGGGAGUUUCUCUCUCCAUUUUCAGGCAAAGGUGAGUUCUUGCCCUUCCUUUGAUGAUUUUAUGCUUUUCCUUCAAAUUUUCAUGAGUUUUCGUUUAUUUUUGAAGUUUUAAGCUUGGAUCAAAGAUUUUAAAGUUUGGGAGACCGUUUCUCCUCAACUCCAAGCUUGGGUCGCAUCUACCUUAGAUUGUCAAGAGGUAAGUGUAGAUCCUUGUCUUUUCCUAUGUUUUAAGUAAGUUUUAAAAAGGGUUAAGGAUUAAAGAUGCGGUUUUGAGUUGGAUUUUUGAUGAAUGUAUGCUUAUGUGAUGUUCUUGUUGUUGUUGUUGGGGCUUAAGUUAGUUUUAUGCCCCUUAUGCUUUAUGGAGUGAGUUUUUGCAUGUUUUGAGAAGUUGGGUAUGAGUUUGGUGAGUUUUGGUGGCUGAGUGUUGAGGCAGAAUCGGGUUCUGCCAUCCUGGAGAACCCAGGUUCGGCCGCCGAAGCAAGAUUUGGCUGCUGAACCUGCAUGGGAGCAGCCUUUUGGCCGCCUAACCUGUCCCCGAAAGCAAGCACUUUCGGAUCUGUCAGGGAGUUUCGGCUGCCGAACUCGUCCCCGAAAGUCUCUGACUUUCGGAUCUGUGGAGGACCUUCGACCACCGAACCUGCCCCCGAAGGACCCCGACUUUCGGAUCUGUAGAGGACCUUCGGCCGCCGAAGGUGCCGCCGAAAGUCCUCUGCCCAGCCUUCCUUUGCUUGUUUUACAUGUAUGUUUAGUGAUGUUUUAGGGGGUUUUUGGAGAGUUGUAUGGAGUCAUGUUUUAGCUAUGUUUGGUCCUUCAAGGGAGUCCAUCUGUGUAGGAUCGGACCUGGGAGACCGUAGAGGCCAGCAGUGAGUCCGCUGCUUCAGUUUUAGUCAGACGUCAGCCAGAGAUGAGUAGAACUAAACUAAUCUAUUAUUUUUAAAAUAAUCAAACUUUUAAGCAUGUUCAUGCAUCAUGAAUGCCAUGUUAUGUAAUAGGUUGUUGCAUUAGAAUUCACGAAUAUGAUGCAUUGCAUAAUUUACUGUUGAUGUGGAUGGAUAUUGGAUGACCCAUUAGCCCUUGAUAUGAUAUGAUAUGAUAUGAUAUGAUAUGAUACGGAAGUCCAGGUCGAGACCCAUUCUACGCCUCUAGUACGAUGUAAGAGAAAGUCCAGGUCGAAGUCCAUUUUACGCCCCUGGCACAGUUGGAUAUAUUAUGUUAUGUUUAAGAGGAAGUCCUAAGGAGUUCUGUCGAGGGCCGGGUAUUAUUUGGAUAUGUAGAGGGUUACUGGUGACAAGUUCAUCUUGAUGUGUAUUGUUUGUGUUGUGAUGCAUUUCAUGAGAGCAUAUGAUUAUUAAACUGUUUUUAUAUUCUGCUCACUAGGCUUUUGUAGCUUAUCCCUUUUCCGUAACCCCAGGUUUGCAGGAUCAGAGAUAGAGCGGAAAGUCGGCAUAGUAGCUAGUAUAGUUUAAUGUAAUAGAAUAGAAGUGGACAUAUACUAUGUAAUGGAUUAGAUUUGUGCUUCGCCCUAGUUUAUGUUUUGUAAAUCCCUGUAAACAUAAUUUUUAUAUAAAAGUUUUUAUGAUGAGUUAUGUUGAACCAAGUUUGAUGUAUGUGAUUGACUAUGCUAGAGCAUUUGAUGGGGGCUCUAGUGUGGAUUUUAUGUAUACAGUUUGUGAUGCAUGCACAGGUCGAGCUUGGUAUAUGGAAAGUUUAAAUUUUUUCAUGAAAAUGUAUGAUCAUGUAAGGGAUUUUAUCAGGUACACAGGAGGUAUAGUAGGCUUGCUACGGGUUUCGGCAACCUUAAGUCGAUCUGAAUCCUAGCGCCAGUAGCGGUUCGGUUUCUGGGUCGUUACAGAGUGGUAUCAGAGUCCUAGGUUCAUAUGGUCGGACCUAGCGUGUCGGGCUCAUAGAUGUUAUAGAAGGGUAAGCACAUUAGGAAAAAUCAUGUCCACUAGGAUAGGAUGUAGAGUCCUGUCUUGAUGAUGUGAAAUGCCAUGAUAUUAUGCAUGUGCAUUAAUGAUAUGUAUGAAUGUGAUGUGGGUUCAUGUGUGUCCACAUGAACCAUAUGAUGCUAAUGUUUAUGUGAUGUAUGUCGUUUUUUCAGAAAUCAGAAUGCGAGACACUCGUGGAUCUGCGAGAUUGACUGGAGUUCCACCUGAAAAUGAGGGCAUGGAUGCCCUUCCCCCUGCUCUGCCAAGAGCACGGUCAAGUAGAACCAGCAGAGGAGAAACAUCAAGGGACCCUAGAAGGUCUUUUGAUGUAAACAGGAGGAGAACCGAUCCGGGUAGGAUGUCAGCGGAUGUGAGGGAAUCAGUGGAAGAUGAUCAGAGGAGGGAUGACAGUUUGGGUGUGAGCAUGUCAGAAGAGGGUAUGGGAGAAUCACAAGGAGGCGCUCAGGCCUCGGGUUUUGCUUACCCACCACAGUACCAACCCUACCCACAGGGACCGGGGUAUCCGAUGGGAGGCACAUCGGAUUUCUCUAGUUACAACCCAUAUCCCUCAUUCAUGCCCUAUCCUCCCUACUACCCUCCAUAUCCACCCUACCUCAUGUUUUCACCCAACCUUUCUAUCAGAACCCAGCAAAUCCUAACCCAGAGAAUGUUGCACCACAUCCUCCUCCCCCAGUAGAACCGGUGGUUCCUGAAACCCAAUCAUCCAGACCCAACCCAUCAGAUGGGAGCAAGGUAAAAAUGACAGAUUAUCUGAAGUUAGAUGCUCCCAAGUUUAAAACAGGUGAUGAUCCGUUCGAGUAUCUCAAGACGGUGAAAAUGAUAAAUGUAAGAAGGGGAAAGAAUGGUUUAAAAAUUAUGUGGACCCGAGACUGGACAGCCUAUCAUGGGAGCAGUUUGCUAAUGAAUUUGCAGGAUGGGCUUUUCCAGAUAGUUCAAGGGAAUUGAAGGUAAUUGAGUUUGAGCAGUUGAGACAAACUAAAGACAUGAGUGUAGAUGAGUACACAGACAAAUUCCUUGAGUUGCUUCAGUUUAUGAGACAGGCAUAUGAUACGGAUCAGAAGAAAGUCAGGAGGUAUACCAUGAGACUCCACUCAAGGUAUUCCUCUCUGAUCUUAGCGGCAGAGAGGGAGAGUUUUCACAUCAUAGUAGAUGCAGCCAGAAAGAUGGAGGCUAGUGUCAUUAUUCAGGGGACAGUAAAACAACAGGUGGCACAGCCCUCGGGUUCCAAAACUCCAAGUUCAAGAAAUUUUGAUCUCAACUCUCUGGGUGAAGCUGCCACGAAGGGUAAGAAGUGGAACAAAUCCAAGCCUAAGAAGAACAAUUUCUGGAAUAGGUUAAAGUCUGGUCUGGGAAUGGGUGGUGGUUCGAGCUCUGGUUCGGAUAGCUCCGGAUGUAUGAGGUGCGGUAAGCCGCACAAAGGGGUUUGUCGGUUUGGGACUACAGCAUGUUUCAGAUGCGGACAGGAGGGGCACAUGGCACGUGAGUGUCCCAGUGCAGUUAUGAUGGCUCAGUCCCAGCGGACAGCUUCUGGUAGCGUGGCCCAGCCAGCAGUUCCAACCAUGUCGCAGGGCAGAGGUUGAGGUAGAGGGAGAGGGACAGCCUCUUUUUCAGCAGGUUCUCACGGAGAAGGUCCAUCAGCUCCAACACGGAUCUUCACCAUGACUCAGCAGGAGGCUAACACAUCGAACACGGUGGUGUCAGGUAAUCUCAUUAUUGGAUGUUCUGAUGUGUAUGCUCUUAUGGACCCUGGUGCUUCUCAUUCUUUUGUUGCUCCGACAGCCGUAGACAGAGUGGGUUUGAUAGCUUCUGGGCUAGAGUGUCCUCUUUGGGUCAGUGGGCCCAAGUGUGAUCCAUCUGUGGCGAAGUCAGUCUGCCGGUUCAGUCUAGUAUUUGUUGAGGGUAGGUGCCUUCCAGCUGACCUUGUGGUUCUAGAUUUGAUAGAUUUUGACAUCAUUCUAGGGAUGGAUUGGCUUUCUACUCAUGGUGCUACCUUGGACUGCAGAGACAAGGUAGUCAGGUUCAGAGAUCAGGAUGGAUCAGAGGUAGUCUUCAGAGGGGACAGGAUAGGGAUGCCUAGAGGUUUGAUAUCUGCCCUUCAGGCUCAUAGGUUGCUUAGGAGGGGUUGUCAGGGGUUUCUUGCUCAUGUCGGAGAGCUAAACAGUCAGGUUAGGGAACCAGCUUCAGUGCCCGUAGUCAGAGAGUUCCUAGAUGUUUUCCCAGACGAGCUGCCAGGUUUACCACCUGCUAGGGAGAUAGAGUUUGAAAUUGAAGUGAUGCCAAGAACCAGACCCAUCUCUAUCCCUCCCUACAGGAUGGCGCUUGCAGAGUUAAAGGAGUUAAAGGAGCAGUUGUAGGAGUUGGUAGGUAAGGGUUUCAUCCGACCUAGUACUUCAUCUUGGGGUGUUCCGGUCCUGUUUGUGAAAAAGAAGGAUGGAUCCCUAAGACUUUGUAUCGACUACAGACAGUUGAACAAUGUCACUACCAAGAACAAAUAUCUGCUAUCCAGGAUUGAUGAUCUAUUCGACCAGCUAUCAGGAGCCGGUUGUUUCUCGAAAAUAGAUUUGAGAUUCGGGUACUACCAGUUGAGGGUUAGAGAAGAAGAUGUGCCAAAGACAGCUUUCAGGACCAGAUAUGGGCAUUUUGAGUUCCUAGUGAUGCCAUUCGGGCUGACCAAUGCCCCUGCAGCAUUCAUGGACCUCAUGAAUAGAGUUUGUACUCAGUUUCUGGAUCACUUCGUUAUUGUCUUCAUUGACGAUAUCUUAGUGUAUUCCAGGAAUGCGGAGGAGCAUGCCCAUCAUCUGAGGAUAGUGUUGCAGACCCUGAGAGAACACAGCUUGUAUGCCAAGUUCUCUAAAUGUGAGUUCUGGUUGAAGAGCAUUUCUUUCUUGGGCUUUUAUCUUAUGAGAUCCGGGGUUGGGGAAUUCCCCGAUCCAGUCCUUUCUUGAGUACUUAAGUUUAGUUUAACAAGGGCAUGAAGUGUCAGAAAAGGGAGUUGAGGUAGAUCCCAAGAAAGUUGAAGCUGUAGCAAACUGGCCUAGACCCACUACAGUGACAGAGAUUAAGAGCUUUUUGGGUUUGGCGGGUUAUUACAGGAGGUUUGUCCAGGACUUCUCUAAAAUUGCCGCUCCUAUGACCAAGUUGACCAAAAAGAAUCAGAAGUUCGUUUGGUCAGAACAGUGUGAAGAAAGUUUUGAAGAGCUGAAGAGGAGACUGACGUUAGCACCGGUGUUAGCUCUGUCUACCAGUAAUGAAGACUUCACAGUGUUUUGUGAUGCGUCCCGAGUGGGACUAGGUUGUGUGUUGAUGCAGAAUGAAAGGGUGAUUGCUUAUGCUUCUAGACAGUUGAAGAAGCAUGAGUUGAAUUAUCCUACACACGACCUAAAGAUGACAGCUGUAAUCUUUGCACUCAAGAUGUGGAGGCAUUACCUGUAUGGGGUAAGAUGUGAGAUUUUUACAGAUCAUAAGAGUUUGCAGUACAUCUUGAGUCAGAAAAAGUUGAACCUGAGGCAGAGAAGAUGGGUGGAGCUGCUUAGUGACUAUAAUUGCAAGAUCCAAUAUCAUCCGGAUAAGACAAAUGUAGUAGUAGAUGCUCUCAGCCGGAAAUCACUUGGCAGUUUAUCCCAUAUUACAGCAGAGAGGAGACCGGUGGUGAGGGAAUUUUACAAGCUCAUUAAUGAAGGUUUACAGUUAGAGUUGUCUGGUACAGGUGCACUAGUGGCUCAGAUGAGAGUGGCACCCGUGUUUCUGGAACAAGUGGCAUAGAAACAGCAUGAGGACCCCAAGUUGGUGAAAAUUGCUAGGACUGUUCAGUCAGACAAAAAUGAAGAGUUUAGAUUCGACAACAAAGGGAUCCUCCGUUAUGGGAACAGAUUAUAUGUACCAGAUGACGUGAGUUUGAAGGGAGGCAUUAUGAGGAAAGCUCAUAAUGCGAGGUACAGCGUUCACCCUGGAGCCACCAAAAUGUACCAGGACUUGAAGAGAGUUUAUUGGUGGCCAACUAUGAAGAGGGAAGUGGCGCAGUUUGUGUCAGCUUGUGAGAUCUGUCAAAGGGUGAAACUGGAACAUCAGAAGCCAGCUGGGAUGCUCAACCCACUACCGAUUCCAGAGUGGAAAUGGGAAAACAUGGCUAUGGAUUUCGUAGUGGGAUUACCAGCAACGUCCAACAGAUUAGACUCUAUAUGGGUAAUAGUGGACAGAUUGACCAAGUCUGCUCACUUUAUCCCUGUCAGGAGUGGCUACUCUGUGGACAAACUGGCACAAGUAUAUGUUGAAGAGAUUGUCAGGCUGCAUGGGGCUCCAAUAUCAAUAGUGUCAGAUAGGGGACCCCAGUUUACCUCCAGGUUUUGGCGGAGUCUGCAGAAUGCUAUGGGCACAAGGUUGGACUUUAGCACUGCUUUCCAUCCACAGAAUGACAGACAGUCAGAGAGGACCAUCCAAACGAUUGAAGACAUGUUGAGAAUGUGUGUGCUAGAUUUUGGCGGUUCUUGGAGGCAGCAUCUACCACUCAUGGAGUUUGCCUACAAUAACAGUUAUCAUACUAGCAUAGAGAUGGCUCCUUAUGAAGCUCUAUAUGGGAGGAAGUGCAGGUCACCUGUCUGCUCGGAAGAAGUAGGAGAAAGGGCCUUGGCAGGGCCAGAGUUAGUUGAGAUCACCAGCAGGGUAGUACCUAUUAUCAGAGAAAGAAUCAGGACUGCUGUGAGUCGGCAGAAGAGUUAUGCAGAUGUCCGUAGGAAACAUGUUGUGUUCCACGAGGGAGAUAUGGUGUUGCUCAAGGUGUUUCCUAUGAAAGGGGUGAUUCGUUUUGGGAAGAAAGGUAAACUAGCUCCAAGGUACAUCGGACCCUUCGAAAUCUUGCAAAAGGUUGGGAAUGAUAAGCUAGAUUUGUCUGCUUCUAUGGAGAGAAUCCAUCCGGUUUUCCAUGUUUCCAUGUUACGGAAGUUUGUGUCAGAUCCAGACAAGGUUCUUAAUGAGCCUGAUGUAGAGAUCCUAGGAGAUCUCACCUAUGUUGAGCAGCUAGUGCGGAUCAUAGACACUCGAAUCAGAAAGUUGAGGAACAAGAAAAUCGCGAUGGUGAAAGUCCUUUGCAAUCACCACAAUAUGGAAGAGUGCACCUGGGAGACUCGGGAGUCCAUGCUCCAGCAAUACCCCUAUCUCUUUUAAGGUUAGUGUUUUAAGUUUUAUGUAUUUUCUUGUUGCUAUGUUUGCUUGUGUGUUGUUUGAACAUUCGGGGACGAAUGUUCUAAAAGGGGGAAGAAUGUAAUACCCGGUUAGACUUCGGUGUCGGAAUUCUAACCUUCCGACGGAAUCCCCGUUGGAAUCCGGAAUCUCGGAUACCGGAACCUCUUAGAAGGAUAAAAUAUGUUUUUACAAAAUGUUUUCAUGAUUUUAUUGAUUGGUUUUUAGUUAAGUUUUAAAAUAAAAGAAAAAAAUGUUUUUGAGGGACAAGCUCAGGUUCGGCCGCCGAACAUGGUGCUGCCGCAGGAGCUCUCCUUUCGGCCCCCGAAGGUGGUCUGGCCAGCCACCUAUAAGAGGCCUCCAGUUCGAAAAUGGGGGAGUUUCUCUCUCCAUUUUCGGGCAAAUGUGAGUUCUUGCCCUUCCUUUGAUGAUUUUAUACUUUUCCUUCAAAUUUUCAUGAGUUUUCGUUUAUUUUUGAAGUUUUAAGCUUGCAUCAAAGAUUUUAAAGUUUGAGAGACCGUUUCUCCUCAACUCCAAGCUUGGGUCGCAUCUACCUUAGAUCGUCAAGAGGUAAGUGUAGAUCCUUGUCUUUUCCUAUGUUUUAAGUAAGUUUUAAAAAGGGUUAAGGGUUAAAGAUGCAUGUUAUGGUUAGAUCUAAUGUUAUAGGUUUUGAGUUGGGUUUUUGAUAAAUGUAUGAUUAUGUUAUGUUCUUCUUGUUGUUGUUGGGGCUUAAGUUAGUUUUAUGCCCCUUAUGCUUGAUGGAGUGAGUUUUUGCAUGUUUUGAGAAGUUGGGUAUAAGUUUGGUGAGUUUUGGUGGCUGAGUGUUGAGGCAGAAUCGGGUUCUGCCAUCCUAGAGAACCCAGGUUCGGCCGUUCGGCUGCCGAACCUGCAUGGGAGGCAACCUUUUGGCCGCCUAACCUGCCCUCGAAAGCAAACACUUUCGAAUCUGUAAGGGAGUUUCGGCCGCCGAACCCGCCCCCGAAAGUCCCUGACUUUCAGAUCUGUGGAGGACCUUCGGCCGCCGAACCUGACCCCGAAGGACUCCGACUUUCGGAUUUGUAGAGGACCUUCGACCGUCGAAGGUGCCGCCAAAAGUCCUCUGCCCAGCCUUCCUUUGCUUAUUUUACAUGCAUGUUUUGUGAUAUUUUAGGGGGUUUUUGGGGAGUUGUAUGGAGUCAUGUUUUAGCUAUGUUUGGUUUCUCAUGGGAGUCUAUUUGUGUAGGAUCGGACUUGGGAGACCGUAGAGGCCAGCAGUGAGUCCGCUGCUUCAGUUUUAGUCAGGCGUCAGCCAGAGGUGAGUAGAACUAAUCUAAUCUAUUGUUUUUAAAGUAAUCAAACUUUUAAGCAUGUUCAUGCAUCAUGAAUGCCAUGUUAUGUAAUAGGUUGUUGUAUUAGAAUUCACGAAUAUGAUGCAAUGCAAUUUACUGUUGAUGUUGAUGGAUAUUGGAUGACCCACUAGCCCUCGAUAUGAUAUGAUAUGAUAUGAUACGGAAGUCCAGGUCGAGGCCCAUUCUACGCCCCUGGAACGAUGUAAGAGAAAGUCCAGGUUGAGGCCCAUUCUACGCCCCUGGCACAGUUGGAUAUGUUAUGUUAUGUUUAAGAGAAAGUCCUGAGGAGCUCUGUCGAGGGCCGGGCAUUAUUUGGAUAUGUAGAGGGUUACUGGUGACAAGUUCAUCUUGAUGUGUAUUGUUUGUGUUGUGAUGCAUUUCAUGAUAGCAUAUGAUUAUUAAACUGUUUUUAUGUUCUGCUCACUAGGCUUUUGUAGCUUAUCCCUUUCCCGUAACCCCAGGUUUGCAGGAUCAGAGAUAGAGCGGGAAGUCGGCAUAGUAGCUGGUAUAGUUUAAUGUAAUAGAAUAGAAGUGGACAUGUACUACCUAAUGGAUUAGAUUUGUGCUUUGCCCUAAUUUAUGUUUUGUAAAUCCCUGUAAACAUGAUUUUUAUAUAAAAGUUUUUAUGAUGAGUUAUGUUGAACCAAGCUUGAUGCAUGUGAUGUUG
rnacentral:lncRNA from 1 species